AAACGACAGCACCACUGGUGUCUCAUUGGGGGCCAGUCUGGAAGAGGGAGACCACCCUAGGCAUUUCAGACAGAAGGGAUGGAAUACAGGCAUUGCUUACACAGAGGACGGACGAGCCGAGAUGCAGAAAGGCCAGGUGAAGCAUUGGCCACAGCUGGAGGCGCUCCACCCUAGGCCAGCGGGACAGAAGGAAGCUGGGUCCGAGAAGCCAGGGCUUGGAGCCACAGUGGGGGCUGCCUGGUAGGAGUUGACCAGGGAGGGAGGGUCUGUCGGGCGGGGGCGGGGGCUCUUUGCCUUCCGAUCCAAGCUCCGCCCUCUGCAGCUCUGCUCUGUGUAUCCCAGAGCUGACCCUGCGGCGCCUUUCCCAGGCUCGCGUCCGGAAGAACAUUCCAACACAGACCACAACACCUAUGGACCUGGAAAACAUUGUGCUCAGUGAAAGAAGCCAGACACAGAAGGACAAUGUUGUAUGAGGUCUUAUUCUGUUGCCCAGGCUGGACUGCAGUGGUGCAAUCCUAGCUCACUGCAGCUUCGACCUCCCGUGCUCAAGUGAUUUUCCCACCUCAGCCUCCCGAGUAGCUGGGACUACAGGUGCGUGCCACCACGCCUGGCUGAUUUUUCUUGUAUUUUUUUGUAGAGAUGGGGGUAUCGCUAUGUUGCCCAGGCUGGUCUUGAACACUUGGGCUCAAGUAAUUCUCCCGCCUUGGCCUCCCAAAGUGCUGGGAUUACAGGUGUGAGCCACUGUGCCUAGUGUGAAUGCAUUUAAUGCCACUGAAUUGUACACUUAAUAAUGGUGAAAAAUAUAAAUAUUCUGUUAAAUAUUUUACCACAAUAAAAAAAUGUGUGACAGUUGUCAG
rnacentral:lncRNA from 1 species